GACGAACGCUGGCGGCGUGCUUAACACAUGCAAGUCGAACGGAAAGGCCCUGCUUUUGUGGGGUGCUCGAGUGGCGAACGGGUGAGUAACACGUGAGUAACCUGCCCUUGACUUUGGGAUAACUUCAGGAAACUGGGGCUAAUACCGGAUAGGAGCUCCUGCUGCAUGGUGGGGGUUGGAAAGUUUCGGCGGUUGGGGAUGGACUCGCGGCUUAUCAGCUUGUUGGUGGGGUAGUGGCUUACCAAGGCUUUGACGGGUAGCCGGCCUGAGAGGGUGACCGGGCAAAUUGGGAAUGAGAUAAGGCCCAGAAUCCUAAGGGAGGCAGCAGUGGGGAAUAUUGCACAAUGGGCGGAAGCCUGAUGCAGCAACGCCGCGUGCGGGAUGACGGCCUUCGGGUUGUAAACCGCUUUCGCCUGUGACGAAGCGUGAGUGACGGUAAUGGGUAAAGAAGCACCGGCUAACUACGUG
rnacentral:rRNA from 1 species